AGAGUUUGAUCCUGGCUCAGGAUGAACGCUAGCUACAGGCUUAACACAUGCAAGUCGAGGGGCAGCAUGGUCUUAGCUUGCUAAGGCCGAUGGCGACCGGCGCACGGGUGAGUAACACGUAUCCAACCUGCCGUCUACUCUUGGACAGCCUUCUGAAAGGAAGAUUAAUACAAGAUGGCAUCAUGAGUCCGCAUGUUCACAUGAUUAAAGGUAUUCCGGUAGACGAUGGGGAUGCGUUCCAUUAGAUAGUAGGCGGGGUAACGGCCCACCUAGUCUUCGAUGGAUAGGGGUUCUGAGAGGAAGGUCCCCCACAUUGGAACUGAGACACGGUCCAAACUCCUACGGGAGGCAGCAGUGAGGAAUAUUGGUCAAUGGGCGAGAGCCUGAACCAGCCAAGUAGCGUGAAGGAUGACUGCCCUAUGGGUUGUAAACUUCUUUUAUAAAGGAAUAAAGUCGGGUAUGCAUACCCGUUUGCAUGUACUUUAUGAAUAAGGAUCGGCUAACUCCGUGCCAGCAGCCGCGGUAAUACGGAGGAUCCGAGCGUUAUCCGGAUUUAUUGGGUUUAAAGGGAGCGUAGGCGGGUUGUUAAGUCAGUUGUGAAAGUUUGCGGCUCAACCGUAAAAUUGCAGUUGAUACUGGCGACCUUGAGUGCAACAGAGGUAGGCGGAAUUCGUGGUGUAGCGGUGAAAUGCUUAGAUAUCACGAAGAACUCCGAUUGCGAAGGCAGCUUACUGGAUUGUAACUGACGCUGAUGCUCGAAAGUGUGGGUAUCAAACAGGAUUAGAUACCCUGGUAGUCCACACAGUAAACGAUGAAUACUCGCUGUUUGCGAUAUACAGUAAGCGGCCAAGCGAAAGCAUUAAGUAUUCCACCUGGGGAGUACGCCGGCAACGGUGAAACUCAAAGGAAUUGACGGGGGCCCGCACAAGCGGAGGAACAUGUGGUUUAAUUCGAUGAUACGCGAGGAACCUUACCCGGGCUUAAAUUGCAACUGACGGAACCGGAAACGGUUCUUUCUUCGGACAGUUGUGAAGGUGCUGCAUGGUUGUCGUCAGCUCGUGCCGUGAGGUGUCGGCUUAAGUGCCAUAACGAGCGCAACCCUUGCCGAUAGUUACUAACAGGUUAUGCUGAGGACUCUGUCGGGACUGCCAUCGUAAGAUGUGAGGAAGGUGGGGAUGACGUCAAAUCAGCACGGCCCUUACGUCCGGGGCUACACACGUGUUACAAUGGGGGGUACAGAGGGCCGCUACCACGCGAGUGGAUGCCAAUCCCAAAAACCUCUCUCAGUUCGGACUGGAGUCUGCAACCCGACUCCACGAAGCUGGAUUCGCUAGUAAUCGCGCAUCAGCCACGGCGCGGUGAAUACGUUCCCGGGCCUUGUACACACCGCCCGUCAAGCCAUGAAAGCCGGGGGUACCUGAAGUACGUAACCGCGAGGAGCGUCCUAGGGUAAAACUGGUGAUUGGGGCUAAGUCGUAACAAGGUAGCCGUACCGGAAGGUGCGGCUG
rnacentral:rRNA from 1 species